GAGCUUGCUCCACCGGAAAAAGAAGAGUGGCGAACGGGUGAGUAACACGUGGGUAACCUGCCCAUCAGAAGGGGAUAACACUUGGAAACAGGUGCUAAUACCGUAUAACAAUCGAAACCGCAUGGUUUUGAUUUGAAAGGCGCUUUCGGGUGUCGCUGAUGGAUGGACCCGCGGUGCAUUAGCUAGUUGGUGAGGUAACGGCUCACCAAGGCCACGAUGCAUAGCCGACCUGAGAGGGUGAUCGGCCACAUUGGGACUGAGACACGGCCCAAACUCCUACGGGAGGCAGCAGUAGGGAAUCUUCGGCAAUGGACGAAAGUCUGACCGAGCAACGCCGCGUGAGUGAAGAAGGUUUUCGGAUCGUAAAACUCUGUUGUUAGAGAAGAACAAGGAUGAGAGUAACUGUUCAUCCCUUGACGGUAUCUAACCAGAAAGCCACGGCUAACUACGUGCCAGCAGCCGCGGUAAUACGUAGGUGGCAAGCGUUGUCCGGAUUUAUUGGGCGUAAAGCGAGCGCAGGCGGUUUCUUAAGUCUGAUGUGAAAGCCCCCGGCUCAACCGGGGAGGGUCAUUGGAAACUGGGAGACUUGAGUGCAGAAGAGGAGAGUGGAAUUCCAUGUGUAGCGGUGAAAUGCGUAGAUAUAUGGAGGAACACCAGUGGCGAAGGCGGCUCUCUGGUCUGUAACUGACGCUGAGGCUCGAAAGCGUGGGGAGCAAACAGGAUUAGAUACCCUGGUAGUCCACGCCGUAAACGAUGAGUGCUAAGUGUUGGAGGGUUUCCGCCCUUCAGUGCUGCAGCUAACGCAUUAAGCACUCCGCCUGGGGAGUACGACCGCAAGGUUGAAACUCAAAGGAAUUGACGGGGGCCCGCACAAGCGGUGGAGCAUGUGGUUUAAUUCGAAGCAACGCGAAGAACCUUACCAGGUCUUGACAUCCUUUGACCACUCUAGAGAUAGAGCUUCCCCUUCGGGGGCAAAGUGACAGGUGGUGCAUGGUUGUCGUCAGCUCGUGUCGUGAGAUGUUGGGUUAAGUCCCGCAACGAGCGCAACCCUUAUUGUUAGUUGCCAUCAUUUAGUUGGGCACUCUAGCAAGACUGCCGGUGACAAACCGGAGGAAGGUGGGGAUGACGUCAAAUCAUCAUGCCCCUUAUGACCUGGGCUACACACGUGCUACAAUGGGAAGUACAACGAGUCGCGAAGUCGCGAGGCUAAGCUAAUCUCUUAAAGCUUCUCUCAGUUCGGAUUGUAGGCUGCAACUCGCCUACAUGAAGCCGGAAUCGCUAGUAAUCGCGGAUCAGCACGCCGCGGUGAAUACGUUCCCGGGCCUUGUACACACCGCCCGUCACACCACGAGAGUUUGUAACACCCGAAGUCGGUGAGGUAACCUUUGGAGCCAG
rnacentral:rRNA from 1 species